CAAAUCCUUACAUUCACUACAUAGUGAACAUCGGCUACUACGCUUUAGUUUUCGUCUUCACGACAGGAGUCUUCAUCAUGAUCGUCACUAAGGUCAUUCAGGCCAGAAACAUAAGACCGACUGACGACAAGAGAAAGACGUUCAGAAAGCAGCUGAUGAUGGUGUUGAGUUUGUUCCUGCUCUUCGGUCUGACGUGGUCUGUGGCGUUCUUCAGUUAUGGACCGAUGCUCAUUCCCUCAUAUUACAUAUUCACUGUGCUGAACUCAUUACAGGGGUUUUUCCUCUUCCUGUAUUACUACCACAUUCACAAUGACGUUGAGGGUAAUUUCUCAGAUGAUCCAGAAAGCACCGACUCCACUGUUUAAUCAAGCAUUAAUGCUGUAGAAAACAUUUCUAACUAGCAUAAUUAAGACAGAAGACUUCCUUUGUCUCAGACUUUCUUACACUGAUUUCUUAAACUGAUCUGUACAGUUAUUGUUUGAGGGGAAACUGUGUAUUCUCACCUAAAUCAAGCUCAGAGACACAAGUCACUUAACCAGAAGGAAUUGUUAAAAAUGAUGCAUGCACAUAAAAUUAUGACCUUAAAAAAGGGAAUGAAACAUAUGACUGAAAAAUCAUUACUGAAACUAUAAUUGUAGAAGGACUGAAUAUUAAAUGACCUGAUGUUCCAUUUAUUGAGCAUUACAAUCAUCAUUCUGUCCACUAAGUGUGAUUAUGUGCGUGCAAGAGCAACUCAAACAACACUGACCCUCUUUUACUAAACAAAUUCACAUCUUCAGAAUGAAAGUAAUGUCCACACGCCUUUGCAUUCAUAUAUUUGCAUGGUCAUUUGAUAAAGCAGCUUAAUCAAAUCCACACACAUGGAUAUUGUACAUAUUGGGUAUAUAAAAACACAAAAACACUGUCAGAAUCAGCUUAUGUUUCCUGCAUUAUUUACAGUUUUUUUUUAUUGCUAUCAAGCGUUUACCAAUACUUAAAGUACUUUUUCUAAACUCUUAACACAGCCAAAUAGUAAUUUUCUGGCCAAAACCACAUUUUGUUAAAUAAAUACAAACUCCACGUUUCAAAAUGCUUAAUACCUUUUUCUACAUUUACUAACUCUAUCAAAACACAGCAAACCUGAUUCAAAAUCGAGUCAUUCGGUCAAAACAUUGGCACAGGUUUUCUUUCCAAUCGGAACAUAUAGUCGAUCAUAGUGCAUAGACCGUCAAAAUCAUAACAAUUAAUGGCAUUACAAAAACUGCAUUAUACUUGUCAUAUCUGUAUAGAACAUACAAUAUGAGAUCCAUUUAAAAAAAUUAAAAAAAUAAUAAUUCAGUCAGCUGAACUCUAAAUUUUUUUUGUGUGUGUAAAUGUGUAACAUUUCAUUUUAGAUCGUAUGUGCACAGCAUAGUGAAGGAGUCAUCAGUAGUUUAUGGAAUGUAAAAGAAAUUAAAAAAUAAUAAUUCAGUCAGCUGAACUCAAAAUUUUUUUUGUGUGUGUAAAUGUGUAACAUUUCAUUUUAGAUCGUAUGUGCACAGCAUAGUGAAGGAGUCAUCAGUAGUUUAUGGAAUGUAAAAGAAAAGUGACAGAAUUGCUGCGGUAAAGGCUUUUUUGGCAAAAUGAAAUUUCUGUGUGUGAAAAAAAUUUAAUAAAAACAUACAGCACUUUGCACCCUACCUCUCCUUCUCCCUUGUCAGAAAGUCAGAAAGAGCUUUAUUACCAAGUAUGUUUACACACACACAAGGAAUUUGACUUGACGACAGGAGCAUCCAGUGCAGAGGAAAGUAUUGACAGUGCAAACAUACAUGACAGUGCAGACAUGCACAGGAAUUAUAACAGUAAUAUAAGAAAAACAGAAAAUGAUGGUCUGUAAUGCUGACCAGAGGCCACAGUACGAAGAGAGAAUGGGCUGGGUGUGUGGGGUCCAAAGCCAUUUUCAUUACUCUGGAGGUGUACAGAUCUUAGAGGUUCGGCC
ensembl:lncRNA